CGNGACGGGUGAGUAACACGUGGAUAACCUACCUAUAAGACUGGGAUAACUUCGGGAAACCGGAGCUAAUACCGGAUAAUAUAUUGAACCGCAUGGUUCAAUAGUGAAAGACGGUUUUGCUGUCACUUAUAGAUGGAUCCGCGCCGCAUUAGCUAGUUGGUAAGGUAACGGCUUACCAAGGCAACGAUGCGUAGCCGACCUGAGAGGGUGAUCGGCCACACUGGAACUGAGACACGGUCCAGACUCCUACGGGAGGCAGCAGUU
rnacentral:rRNA from 1 species